AAUGAACGCUGGCGGCGCGCCUAAUACAUGCAAGUCGAGCGAGAAGACGUAGCAAUACGUUUGUAAAGCGGCGAACGGGUGAGGAAUACAUGGGUAACCUACCCUCGAGUGGGGAAGUAACUAGCCGAAAGGUUAGCUAAUACCGCGUACGCUUCUUGGACUUCGGUUCAGGGAGGAAAGCGAUACCGAGGGUAUCGCGCUCUUGGAUGGGCUCAUGUCCUAUCAGCUUGUUGGUGAGGAACGGCUCACCAAGGCUUCGACGGGUAGCUGGUCUGAGAGGACGAUCAGCCACACUGGCACUGCGACACGGGCCAGACUCCUACGGGAGGCAGCAGUAAGGAAUAUUGCGCAAUGGGCGAAAGCCUGACGCAGCGACGCCGCGUGGGGGAGUGAA
rnacentral:rRNA from 1 species